GAUGAAGAACGUAGCGAAAUGCGAUAAGUAAUGUGAAUUGCAGAAUUCAGUGAAUCAUCGAAUCUUUGAACGCACAUCGCGCCCCUUGGUAUUCCAUGGGGCAUGCCUGUUCGAGCGUCAUUUGUACCUUCAAGCUUUGCUUGGUGUUGGGUGUUUGUCUCGCCUUUGCGUGUAGACUCGCCUUAAAAUAAUUGGCAGCCGGCGUAUUGAUUUCGGAGCGCAGUACAUCUCGCGCUUUGCACUCAUAACGACAGCGUCCAAAAGUACAUUUUACACUCUUGACCUCGGAUCAGGUAGGGAUACCCGCUGAACUUAAGCAUAUCAAUAAGCGGAGGA
rnacentral:misc_RNA from 1 species